rnacentral:pre_miRNA from 1 species
GCUCAGGUACUUAGUGACUCUCAAAGAAUAUAUAUAGACUUGAGAGACGCUCUGUACCUAGACU